rfam:Myotis brandtii contig201631, whole genome shotgun sequence.
GGUGGUUCUUGGGUGACGCACCCCAGAAUCGGGUUCCCUCUUCUCUCCUUCCAGGGUGCAUCACCUGAGAACCACU